GAUGAACGCUGGCGGCGUGCCUAAUACAUGCAAGUCGAGCGAACGGACGAGAAGCUUGCUUCUCUGAUGUUAGCGGCGGACGGGUGAGUAACACGUGGAUAACCUACCUAUAAGACUGGGAUAACUUCGGGAAACCGGAGCUAAUACUGGAUAAUAUUUUGAACCGCAUGGUUCAAAAGUGAAAGACGGUCUUGCUGUCACUUAUAGAUGGAUCCGCGCUGCAUUAGCUAGUUGGUAAGGUAACGGCUUACCAAGGCAACGAUGCAUAGCCGACCUGAGAGGGUGAUCGGCCACACUGGAACUGAGACACGGUCCAGACUCCUACGGGAGGCAGCAGUAGGGAAUCUUCCGCAAUGGGCGAAAGCCUGACGGAGCAACACCGCGUGAGUGAUGAAGGUCUUCGGAUCGUAAAGCUCUGUUGUUAGGGAAGAACAUAUGUGUAAGUAUCUGUGCACAUCUUGACGGUACCUAAUCAAAAAGCCACGGCUAACUACGUG
rnacentral:rRNA from 1 species